UACGUAGGGGGCUAGCGUUGUUCGGAAUUACUGGGCGUAAAGCGCACGUAGGCGGAUCGAUCAGUCAGGGGUGAAAUCCCAGAGCUCAACUCUGGAACUGCCUUUGAUACUGUCGAUCUAGAGUAUGGAAGAGGUGAGUGGAAUUCCGAGUGUAGAGGUGAAAUUCGUAGAUAUUAGGAAGAACACCGGUGGCGAAGGCGGCCCACUGGUCCGGUACUGACGCUGAGAAGCGAAAGCAUGGG
rnacentral:rRNA from 1 species